AGUGGUACGCGAGCUGGGUUUAGAACGUCGUGAGACAGUUCGGUCCCUAUCUGCCGUGGGCGCUGGAGAACUGAGGGGGGCUGCUCCUAGUACGAGAGGACCGGAGUGGACGCAUCACUGGUGUUCGGGUUGUCAUGCCAAUGGCACUGCCCGGUAGCUAAAUGCGGAAGAGAUAAGUGCUGAAAGCAUCUAAGCACGAAACUUGCCCCGAGAUGAGUUCUCCCUGAGACUUUAGGUCUCCUGAAGGAACGUUGAAGACGACGACGUUGAUAGGCCGGGUGUGUAAGCGCAGCGAUGCGUUGAGCUAACCGGUACUAAUGAACCGUGAGGCUUAACCUUACAACGCCGAAG
rnacentral:rRNA from 1 species